AGAUUGAACGCUGGCGGCAGGCUUAACACAUGCAAGUCGAGCGGUAACAGGGGGAGCUUGCUCCCCGCUGACGAGCGGCGGACGGGUGAGUAAUACAUAGGAAACUGCCCAGUAGUGGGGGAUAGCCCGGGGAAACCCGGAUUAAUACCGCGUACGCCCUUAGGGGGAAAGCAGGGGAUCUUCGGACCUUGCGCUAUUGGAUGUGCCUAUGUCGGAUUAGCUAGUUGGUGGGGUAAAGGCCUACCAAGGCGACGAUCCGUAGCUGGUCUGAGAGGAUGAUCAGCCACAUCGGGACUGAGACACGGCCCGAACUCCUACGGGAGGCAGCAGCGGGGAAUAGUUGGACAAGUGGGGGCGACCCUGAUCCAGCCAUGCCGCGUGUGUGAAGAAGGCUUUCGGGUGUAGAGCACUUUCAGUGAGGAGAAAACCUUGACGAUUAAUACUCGCAGGUCUUGACGUUACUCACAGAAGAGCACCGGCUAACCUCCGCGCCAG
rnacentral:rRNA from 1 species